GCUCAAUCGAUGCGCAUCCAGUCCAAUGGCUGCCAUUUUCACUUGAGAUCUCUAAAUAAAUGGCAAUAUUCCCUGUGGUUAGAACUUUUCGGGGACAGAAUCAUUGCAGUGUUCUAAAACCAGUGAUAGCAACAUGAAUUUAAAUCUAUGUUUUAACACUAUUCAUACUGGAAAUGCCUUGUGAAAUAGGCCUGACAUUUCAUAUUUUUCGUUUUGCUUCUGUACUAUCUGAAAUGUGACAGCAUCUUUAAAAGUGUUUAAUGACAUGAAAAUUAUUAUCAAUUACUGGGACGCCU